AAAAAGGGCUUGUGCUGUGACUGGCACAGGGGCGGGGUAGUUUUCUGCCCUGUCCCUGCGGAAUCGAUAUCAAGAGAUUUCGGAAGCACAAUUUUUGUACCACUGGGCUGUCGAUGAUCACUUGUCUUGACGCCCUU